AACAGCAGAGACUACAACUACUGCCAUGCCAGUUACUACAGGUGAAAUUGGUGAUGCAGCUGUAGAAACUACGCGCCCACCAAGAUCUACACAACCAGCAACUACAACGGCAGCUCCAGAAACAACCACCCAAUCGACAACACCUGUUCCAACAACAACAGCAGCUCCAGAAACAACCACACCAUCAACAACUG